GGAGCGAUGGUGUAGUUGGUUAUCACGUCUGUCUAACACACAGACGGUCCUCAGUUCGCUCACUGCCUCGCCGCA
rnacentral:tRNA from 1 species